GUAUGUUUAAUUCAGUGAUUAUUGAAUUAGAUGAUCAUAGUUUAUUGGUUUGUUAUUAUUAUCAAACAUGACAAUGCAUAUUGUUGUUAAAUGCUUAGAUUUUUUUAGAAGGUUAGGUGGUGUUGUUAAUUUAAUUUUGUUUUUAAUAAUUUGUUUUGUUUGUGAUGAAUGUCAUAUUAUUCUUGCUGCUUGAUUAAAAUUGUUUGAAUUUUGCGUAUUUGCAAUCCCUUCUGAUGAUUUUUGGGUUUCUGGUUUUGAGAGUUUUGGUCGUUGAAGAGACAUGUCUGAAUUCAGUGCCGUAGCUCUUUCUUGCUUGGUAUGUGCUUGUCGCAUGUGGGUUUUUGGUUUUGAGAGCUUCUAUGUUUUCCUUUGCAGUGGGUAAAAAU
rnacentral:misc_RNA from 1 species